AUGCGCGGUCCUGCCUCCCGCGGCGGGCCGGGUCUCCAGGGAGGACCUGAGUUUUCUUCACCCAUUGUCAGGAAGGCGCCAUCGCCCUGGCUUUUGGGGCUGGGGCCUCCGGGGAGGUUCCGGUAGGGGCGUUGGAGAGGCCCGCUCUUUUUGCAAGGCCCGAGACGGCGGGCCCUGCGCAGGCCGCCCUAUUUCCGCGCGCCCUCAGGGCGUCAGUAUCAGCCUGAGGCUGGAUACCCCCGCUGGCCCCGGAUGCCCCCGCUGGGCCCGGAGCAUCCUCCGGCGCUGCCCUCCCAGAGCCACGCAGAGGCUGAGGUGGCGCGGGGGCGGCCCCGGCUCCGCGAGAAGCGGCGGCAGCGAGGGCUGGAGGACCCGGGCUGCGGGGCUCCGGGGCGUCUGGCCUGGGUGGGACUGAGCCCAUCCAGGGACUGGGACUCUGGGAUUCUGGUGUAGGUGGAUCCGGGGCAGGCUCAGGACCAAGUCCCUCUCCUUCCACCAAGGAGCGCCCAGAGGCCGGCGGGAGCUCCAGGUUCACCUCCUCCUCCUCCAGGAAAUCCCACUUCCAGCUAGAUGUCUGCAUGAACUACUGAAAGCUGCUGAGUGUCUUGCAGCAGCUUGACUACCACACAAAUGAAUCCAUUCAAAUGUUGGCAAGUGGAGCAGAGUCCCAGGACAGGUACAGAAACACCCCCAGUUCAAGAAUCUUCACAUCUGAAUUUAGUCCUACACCUGCAACUACCCCAGCUACUUACACCAAGAUGAAGAUAAUUUAUUAGUUCAG